rnacentral:tRNA from 1 species
CCCUCUAGCUCACUUGGUAGAGCAUGGUGUUUGCAACACCAGGGUUGUGGGUUCAAUUCCCACGGGGG